rnacentral:rRNA from 1 species
UGGCGGCACUAGCGCGGUGGUCCCACCUGACCCCAUGCCGAACUCAGAAGUGAAACGCCGUAGCGCCGAUGGUAGUGUGG